UGCGGAGGGGACUAGCGUUGUUCGGAAUUACUGGGCGUAAAGCGCACGUAGGCGGAUUUGUUAGUCAGGGGUGAAAUCCCGAGGCUCAACCUCGGAACUGCCUUUGAUACUGCAAAUCUCGAGUCCGGAAGAGGUGAGUGGAAUUCCUAGUGUAGAGGUGAAAUUCGUAGAUAUUAGGAAGAACACCAGUGGCGAAGGCGGCUCACUGGUCCGGUACUGACGCUGAGGUGCGAAAGCGUGGGGAGCAAACAGG
rnacentral:rRNA from 1 species